rnacentral:miRNA from 7 species
CUCCCUGCCCAACUCUCCAGUCUGUCCAGGUCUUGUUGAAUGGCAGCAAAGCCUUU